GAUGAACGCUGGCGGCGUGCUUAAUACAUGCAAGUCGAGCGAACAGACGAGGAGCUUGCUCCUCUGUCGUUAGCGGCGGACGUGAGAGUAACACGUGGAUCACCUACCUAUCAGACUGGGAUCACUUCGGGAAACCGGAGCUAAUACCGGAUAAUCUAUUGAACCGUAUGGUUCAAUAGUGAAAGACGGUUUUGCUGUCACUUCUAGAUGGUUCCGCGCCGCAUUAGCUAGUUGGUAAGUUAACGGCUUACCAAGGGAACGAUGCGUAGCCGACCUGAUAGAGUGAUCGCCCACACUGGAGCGGAACCACGGUCCAGACGCCUACGGGACGCAGCAGUAGGGUAUCUUCCGCAAUAGGCGAAAACCUGACGGAACAACGCCGCGUGAGUGAUGAAAAUCUUCGGAUCGUAAAACUCUGUUAUUAGGGAAAAACAAAUUUGUAAGUAGCCAUGCACGGCGUGACGGUACCUAAUCAGAAAGCCACGGCUAACUACGUG
rnacentral:rRNA from 1 species